rnacentral:rRNA from 1 species
UACGUAGGGUGCGAGCGUUAAUCGGAAUUACUGGGCGUAAAGCGUGCGCAGGCGGUUCGUUGUGUCCGUCGUGAAAGCCCCGGGCUUAACCUGGGAACUGCGAUGGAAACUAGCGAGCUGGAGUACGGCAGAGGGGGAUGGAAUUCCGCGUGUAGCAGUGAAAUGCGUAGAUAUGCGGAGGAACACCGAUGGCGAAGGCAAUCCCCUGGGCCUGUACUGACGCUCAUGCACGAAAGCGUGGGGAGCAAACAGG